AAUGGGCGCAAGCCUGAUCCAGCCAUGCCGCGUGUGUGAUGAAGGCCCUAGGGUUGUAAAACACUUUCAGUGGGGAAGAUAAUGACGGUGCCCACAGAAGAAGCUCCGGCUAACUCCGUGCCAGCAGCCGCGGUAAUACGGAGGGAGCUAGCGUUGUUCGGAAUUACUGGGCGUAAAGCGCACGUAGGCGGAUUUGUUAGUCAGAGGUGAAAUCCCGGGGCUCAACCUCGGAACUGCCUUUGAUACUGCAAGUCUAGAGACCGAGAGAGGUGAGUGGAAUUUCCAGUGUAGAGGUGAAAUUCGUAGAUAUUGGAAAGAACACCAGUGGCGAAGGCGGCUCACUGGCUCGGUACUGACGCUGAGGUGCGAAAGCGUGGGGAGCAAACAGGAUU
rnacentral:rRNA from 1 species